GGUAGCGGAGAAAUUCCAAUCGAACCCGGAGAUAGCUGGUUCUCCCCGAAAUAGUUUUAGGACUAGCCUCAAGUUAGAUAUCUGGAGGUAAAGCACUGAAUAGCCUAGCGGCCGAGAGGUUAGCGAAGCUUAUCAAACUCAGAAUGCCAGAAUAUUGAUGCUUGGGAGUCAGACAGUGUCAGAUAAAUGUCAUUGUCAAAAGGGAAACAGCCCAGAUCUACAGCUAAGGUCC
rnacentral:rRNA from 1 species